rnacentral:rRNA from 1 species
AAUGAACGCUGGCGGCAUGCCUAACACAUGCAAGUCGAACGACACCAUCGUGUAUAGUGGCGCAUGGGUGUGUAACGUGGGGGAAGCGGGCCUUAGAUUUGGAAUAACUCUUUGAAAGGGGGGAUAACGUCGGAAAAUGUCCUCGGACCACAGAUUUAUCGCCCGUGGAUGUGCCGGCGUUCGAUGAGCUAGUCGGUAGGGUAAAGGCCUAUCUAGGCGACGAUAGUUAGCUGGUCAGAGAGGCUGAUAAGCCACACUGUGACAGAGAAACGUCCGAGACUCUGACGGGAGGCAGCAGCGGGGAAUCUUGGAGGAUGGGGGAAUGCCUGAUCCAGCAAUAUGGGGUGAGGGAUGAAGGCGUUCGGCUGGGAAAGUGAUGUUGUCCGGAAAGAAAUACAGCUCGUUUACACGGGGUGGUAAUGACGGUACCGGAAGAAUAAGCACCGGCUAACUCCGUG